rfam:Ralstonia pickettii 12J chromosome 1, complete sequence.
GCAACCUGAAGCUGGCGAGCAACCAGCGCGCGGUGUUUCUCAGCCUGCUGGGCAUCUCGUGGCUCUGGUUCGUGGGCGCGACGUUCCUGACGUCGUUCUUUGCCUACGCGCGCAAUGUGCUC